UCCCCCCGUCUAUGCAUUAGAUAUCAACACACGUUACAGUGCGUGUGAGCACCGACCACACCGUUGGUGGGCUGGGUGUGGAGGCUGGAACCUUACCCCAGAGGGAGGGGACACAGGCUAGCAGAUAAAUGACAGCAGACAGAUGUGACAGAUGGGUGUAAACAUGACUCUGGAAAGAGGACCAAAUGCUUGCUGGAAGAGCGAGUCUUUCAUAGGCUUGAAAGAAGACUCCCACUCCAUGGCUUCCUCCUUGCCUCCUGCCCAUGUGAGAUCUGAGGCUUGAAGGGGACACCGGGGACAAGUGGCAAGUCCCAUUCAUAGGCAGCCACCCCGACCGACGGGCAGACAGGCUAACCUGUGCCCAGCCGACCCAUCACCAGCAAGACGCACCGAGGACCGGAAGGACAGCUCCCUGUAGCCUCCUGGCCGCUCUGGGAGGCCGAUGGCAGAGCCUGCGACAGCCACCCGCAGGUGCCUUUCAACCCUAGCUGGACAGCCAGAGAAACUGAGUCAAGCUUAGCUGAUGGCACUGCCCAGGAGACUGCUAAGAAGAGCUCCUCCCCCUUCCUCAUUCUCUACCUCGGCAGUAAAGAAAACACCAGCGGCCGGGUUUCCUCGCUGUAGUCUGCCUUCCAUGUGGGAGUGGGGAAAUUAAAAGUA